GUGGGGAAUCUUCCGCAAUGGACGAAAGUCUGACGGAGCGACGCCGCGUGAGUGAUGAAGGCCCUUGGGUCGUAAAGCUCUGUCAUUGGGGACGAACGACCGCCUCAGGAAAUGGGGGCGGAGUGACGGUACCCAAGAAGGAAGCCACGGCUAACUACGUGCCAGCAGCCGCGGUAAUACGUAGGUGGCAAGCGUUGUCCGGAAUUAUUGGGCGUAAAGCGCGCGCAGGUGGGAUCUUAAGUCCAUUUUGAAAGUUCGGAGCUCAACUCCGUGAUGGGAUGGAAACUGGGAUUCUUGAGUAUCGGAGAGGAAAGCGGAAUUCCCCGUGUAGCGGUGAAAUGCGUAGAUAUGGGGAGGAACACCAGUGGCGAAGGCGGCUUUCUGGACGAUGUCUGACACUGAGGCGCGAAAGCCAGGGGAGCGAACGGGAUUAGAUACCCGAGUAGUCC
rnacentral:rRNA from 1 species